GGCGGGCUGGCGAAAUGGCAUCGCGUCAGUUUCCGGUUCAUGUCCAGCUGAAGAUUGCGGGUUCGAGUCCCGCGCCUGUCG